GCCGGGCGUGGUGGCGCAUGCCUGUAAUCCCAGCUACUCAGGAGGCUGAGGCAGAAGAAUUGCUUGAACCCGGGAGGCGGAGGUUGCAGCGAGGUGAGAUUGCGCCACUGCACUCCAGCCUGGGCAACAGAGCGAGACUCCGUCUCAA
rnacentral:SRP_RNA from 2 species